UCUGCUGGCCAGUUACUCUCAACAGACAGGCAGUAUUAUCAGAGAGAUUGUUGCUAAAGAUGUCACAAAAGCCAGAGCCAAAUUCUGUCCCCAUUAAGGAGAUGCUCAGAGGACUUUGUCCCUGUGCAGUCUCAUGGCAUCUCUUCUGACUGCCCAUGCUGAGGACAGGCUCACUCUGGACUAGCAGGGCAUACAGGGCUGAAACAUAGAAAAAACUCUGAGGCACCACCGUAGAGAAGAUGUGAUGAGGAGAAAUGAAGUUGAUGACAUGACAGAACACAUGAAGAAAUUGGACAGAAAUCAGCAAGACUUUAUUAGGGAAGGCUCAUAUGGGAGCUGUUCCUGGAAAAACAACUGCUCUCUCAUUGUAAAGCAAUUAACUGGAAUUCACUGUCAAAGGCACCAUGGUCAAAAGGUGACAACCACUAACAGGAACACACCAGUUCACCACCAGGGAAUAGGCUGCAGCUGAGUUCCCAGUUCCUAAAGACUUUCAUUUUGUGGUCCUGUAAUAUUAGAGCACAUGACCCACCCACACCAGCUGAGAGCACUUAGCAGUACCCCCUCCCUCAUUCCAUGCCAUGGGAUGCAUUUCAGAAGCUCUUGACUAAGAAAACCCCACAUAACUCAAAAAUAACUGACAAGAAUAACAGAAAGACCACAAAAAGCACAUAAAAUAGAGUUGUUAACAGCUCAUAUUUGAACCAACAUGAUGGAAGUCUUACUGCAAGAGUGGGGCAGCCUCAGUGGUUACCCCAGUUAAAUGUAUCAAAUCAAAUGCAGAAUAUUCCCCAAUGCUGUUUAACAAAAUGUGGCCCCAGAGUGUUUGCAUAAGAGAGGACAUGUGCAGUGCAACUACCAAAGGACUCCUGGGCUUCUCCAUGUUAUCUCCCACAGAGCAUCCCAUAGCCUUUUCCUUAAGUUUGCAGGAGGCAGAACACAUUUUAUGACCUAAUAAUUAACAAAGAAAGGCUUAAAUUAUAUGAUAAUUUAAUGGCUGGGUUAGAGAGGGCUUGUGUUAUGAAAUGAGAUGUCUUACAGGAGCACUCUGGUGAAGUGCAGAUCCAAAAUAGAUCCAUUUUUAUUUGCAUGUGCUUUUUGGUCUAGAAUACCCAGUGAACCCUGCCAAAAUGACCAGCUGAUGCUGUGGCAGCCUUGUGAUUGCACCAAAUAGUACAAGAAAAAGGGACUGUCCUGCUUCUCUGAGCAGCUGUGUGAGCCCAGCAGCCCUGUAGCACAGCAUAUCAAUUACCCAGUAAUUACCCCCUCAGAUUCCUGUUGCUCGAAAAAAACAACACCAAAACAAACACAAACUUUUGCAUCUAGGUUUCACACAGAAAAGAUGAUGCUGGAGGGAGAGAACAGCAUUUUCACAUGAGUUCUUUCUUUCUAAAGGUCAGAGUCUGUAAAUUUUGACUUGUUGUAUAAGAGUUUGGAUUCACUAAAGCUUCUGAAACAGGUCAAAAAUAAAAGUAGUAGAGUCAGGCAGAGAAUAGUAAAAUAAGAGU